CAGCCGCCGCGGUAAAACGUAGGGUGCAAGCGUUAAUCGGAAUUACUGGGCGUAAAGCGUGCGCAGGCGGUUAUAUAAGACAGAUGUGAAAUCCCCGGGCUCAACCUGGGAACUGCAUUUGUGACUGUAUAGCUAGAGUACGGCAGAGGGGGAUGGAAUUCCGCGUGUAGCAGUGAAAUGCGUAGAUAUGCGGAGGAACACCGAUGGCGAAGGCAAUCCCCUGGGCCUGUACUGACGCUCAUGCACGAAAGCGUGGGGAGCAAACAGGAUUAGAGACCCGGGUAGUCCCUGUCUCUUAUAC
rnacentral:rRNA from 1 species